CUUGUAUAUAACAUUAUUUCAGGACUUGAUGUAUUCAUGUAUAUUUAAGUUUCUUUUAGGACUUUGAUGUAUUAAGAGUUCCUACUUCCUGGUGUGUGGUUUCUGGCUGAGUCAGGGCUGUUCUUUUUGUGCUCAGUCUAGAUGUAGUUUCCAAUAAAAUGUUGGCAUAGUGUUUCUAUAUGCUUGUGCAAAUGAAAAAGGAAAGUCUAGGAACUCAUGCAUAGUCAAAGAAACUCAAAAUAGUGGUACAAACCGCGCAAAACUUGCUUUGAGAACUGAGAUACCUGGUAUGUUAAUUAAGAUCUAGUGCCCCUUUGAAUUGUUCAAAAUCACCAGGAUUAUCAAUUCUCUCAUGGAUGUGGAUUUUGUUGUUUCAAUUA
rnacentral:misc_RNA from 1 species